rnacentral:rRNA from 1 species
AUACGUAGGGUGCGAGCGUUAAUCGGAAUUACUGGGCGUAAAGCGUGCGCAGGCGGCUUUGCAAGACAGAGGUGAAAUCCCCGGGCUCAACCUGGAAACUGCCUUUGUGACUGCAAGGCUAGAGUACGGCAGAGGGGGAUGGAAUUCCGCGUGUAGCAGUGAAAUGCGUAGAUAUGCGGAGGAACACCAAUGGCGAAGGCAAUCCCCUGGGCCUGUGCUGACGCUCAUGCACGAAAGCGUGGGGAGCAAACAGGAUUAGAAACCCUAGUAGUCC